GGAGCAGCAACCUGAGCUGUCACAUCUUCAGCCACAAGCUUAAAGCAGAGACAAUGAACAGGACGAGGGGUCAGGCUGUGAACUUGCCAAGCCUCCUUGAAGGCUUCACCAACUGGGAACCAAGUGCUCAAGCAUCUGAGCCAUGGGGAGCACUUCUCAUUUAAACCUCCACACUCCCCAUUACCCUGCCCUAGCUGAGUGUCCCAUGAAGUCAUUCUCUCUCUCACGAUGAGUGGGUCCAGAUACAGUUUUGAAUGCCAGACUGCAGCUGUAGGAACUGCACACACCAUCGAUUUAUCCAGCCCAUGGCAUAGCCAUCCGGUCAGCCACCCAUGCACUUAGCACACAUACGUUGAGUGUGUCUGUGUUAGCUGCCAGACUGUGAGAGUGAACAGGUCACAACCCAGGAAGAGAGAAACCAUUACUGAAGCCCAUACUGCUCAGACCCUGGUACAUACAACUCCUCCCUUGAGGAAGGUGAUACUGAAAACUCCAGAUGAAGCCAUAGAUUUCAGCUGCGGGACCUUACUGGACCUUCCCACACCAGGAGUCACUGUGGUCACACGCAGCCACAUGCAUAAGAGUGUUAGUCCUGGCCCUGCCAUUGCCCUCAGGACAUUCCCC
rnacentral:lncRNA from 1 species